rnacentral:rRNA from 1 species
UGCAGCAGGCGCGAAAACUUGGCAAUGCGAGAAAUCGUGACCAGGGAACUCCAAGUGUCUGGGGUAAGACCCAGUCUUUUCAUGACUCUUCAAAGGUCUUGGAAUAAGAGGUGGGUAAGGACGGUGCCAGCCGCCGCGGUAAUACCGGCGCCUCAAGUGGUAGUCGAUUUUAUUGGGCCUAAAACGUCCGUAGCCUGUUCGGUACAUUCGUGGGUAAAUCAACCAGCUUAACUGAUUGAAUUCUGCGAGCACGGCCAGACUUGGGACCGGGAGAGGUGUGGGGUACGCUCAGGGUAGGGGUAAAAUCCUGUCAUCCUGAGCGGACCACCUGUUGCGAAGGCGCCACACUAGAACGGAUCCGACGGUCAGGGACGAAGCCUAGGGGCACGAACCGGAUUAGAUACCCGGGUAGUCCUAGGUGUAAACGCUGUGGACUUGGUGUUGGGGAUUCUCCGAGGAUUCUCAGUGCCGAAGCGAAGGUGAUAAGUCCACUGCCUGGGGAGUACGGUCGCAAGG